UACGAAGGGGGGCUAGCGUUGUUCGGAAUUACUGGGCGUAAAGGGCGCGUAGGCGGCGUGUCAAGUCAGGCGUGAAAGCCCCGGGCUCAACCUGGGAACCGCGCUUGAGACUGGCAUGCUCGAGUUCGGGAGAGGAUGGUGGAAUUCCCAGUGUAGAGGUGAAAUUCGUAGAUAUUGGGAAGAACACCGAUGGCGAAGGCAGCCAUCUGGACCGACACUGACGCUGAGGCGCGGAAAGCGUGGGGAGCAAACAGG
rnacentral:rRNA from 1 species